CAUAUGCUGACAAGGCCUGGAUGUGCCAGUCUGUCUGUGGGUCCUUCAAGCCCAGCUAAUACACACAGAGUGCAGGCAAACAAUGGGGCCUUAGCGGUGGAUAAAGAAGGCAGUCUAGAUGCCUGACGUCUGGGAAGCUCACAGACACAGGCGUGUUUAACCCUUUCUGGGAAUGAAUGGGCUCAGAGCCUGCUAAACAGAUGGUGGAGUGUAAAUGGUGUCGGGUCCAACGUGUGUGACGUCAACACCGCGUGAAGAAUGAGGGUGACGGAGAGGGUUAAAGGCAUAAAUAAUGGAGUCGGGCGUCUGUGUAACUCACACCCGGAGAAAACCCCACCACAGCACCACUCCACCGAAGGCUGGACUUCAUGUUUUAAUUCAGAAACCGCUGGAAGGCGUCCAAAAGCAGGUCCACAGACCUCGCAGUGUGUCAGCGAUU